AUUGAACGCUGGCGGCAGGCCUAACACAUGCACGUCGAACGAGUGGCGGACGGGUGAGUAAUGUCUGGGAAACUGCCUGAUGGAGGGGGAUAACUACUGGAAACGGUAGCUAAUACCGCAUACCAUCAGAUGUGCCAAGAUGGGAUUAGCUAGUGGGUGGGGUAAUGGCUCACCAAGGCGACGAUCCCUAGCUGGUCUGAGAGGAUGACCUGCCACACGGGAACUAAGACACGAUCCAGACGCCUACGUAGGGCAGCGGUGGGGAAUAUUUCACAGUGGGCACAAGCCUGAUGCAGCACUGCCGCGUGUAUGAAGAAGGCCUUCGGGUUGUAAAGUACUUUCAGCUGGGAGGCGUUACCCGCAGAAGAAGCACCGGCUAACUCCGCGCCAGCAGCCGCGGUAAUAC
rnacentral:rRNA from 1 species